rnacentral:rRNA from 1 species
GUUCGAAGGCGAUUAGAUACCGCCCUAGUUCUAACCAUAAACGAUGCCAGCUAGCGAUCUGAGGACGUUUUUUUUGUAGACUCCUCAGGAAGCUUCCGGGAAACCAAAGCGUGUGGGUUCCGGGGGAAGUAUGGUUGCAAAGCUGAAACUUAAAGGAAUUGACGGAAGGGCACCACCAGGAGUGGAGCCUGCGGCUUAAUUUGACUCAACACGGGAAAUCUCACCAGGCCCGGACACUGGAAGGAUUGACAGAUUGAGAGCUCUUUCUCGAUUCGGUGGGUGGUGGUGCAUGGCCGUUCUUAGUUGGUGGAGUGAUUUGUCUGGUUAAUUCCGAUAACGAACGAGACUCUGUCCUGCUAAAUAGUGUCAGCCUCUCUUUUGGGCUGACAAUUCUUCUUAGAGGGACUGGCGGCUCCUAGCCGCACGAGAUAGAGCAAUAACAGGUCUGUGAUGCCCUUAGAUGUUCUGGGCCGCACGCGCGCUACACUGAAUAGAUCAGCGUGUUCUCCCUUUCUGAGAAGAACGGGUAAACCGCUGAACCCUAUUCGUGGUAGGGAUCGGGGCUUGCAAUUAUUCCCCGUGAACCAGGAAUUCCCAGUAGGCGCGAGUCAUAAGCUCGCGUCGAUUACGUCCCUGCCCUUUGUACACACCCCCCGUCGCUAAUACCGAUUGAAUGGGUA